UACGGAGGGUGCAAGCGUUAAUCGGAAUUACUGGGCGUAAAGCGCACGUAGGCGGUUUAUUAAGUCAGAUGUGAAAUCCCCGGGCUCGACCUGGGAACUGCAUUUGAAGCUGGCAAGCUUGAGUCUCGUAGAGGGGGGUAGAAUUCCAGGUGUAGCGGUGAAAUGCGUAGAGAUCUGGAGGAAUACCGGUGGCGAAGACGGCCCCCUGGACGAGGACUGACGCUCAGGUGCGAAAGCGUGGGGAGCAAAC
rnacentral:rRNA from 1 species